CUGCUCUGAUGGAUCAGAUGAGGAUGAUUGUGACCAAUGUUACUGUGCCUCGAAAAAUAUGAUGUCUCUUAAGUUACCAAGAUCAGCUCAUUCUGCAAAGGAAAUACGACGGUGUUCUGCAAUGGAUCCAUCCUUAACAGGAACGCUUCAGUUUGAGUGUGUUUAUGACACAUAUACAACCAUGCGGAGACUCUUACACGAGACAUGUAAAUGUGAAAAUAAAGGUCUUUUUGAUCACGUCAAUUAAAAGGUAACCUGUCUUUUUAUACCCUCUCGCAAAGUUGGUAAAAACGCUUAAAAUAUUUCAUUUAUUUCCUCUUUCCUCUUUCCUGGUAAUCUGGUUUGUGAUUUUUUGCGAACUAUUUAUUUGUGGACGUUGCGUAUCUUACCAGUAUUGUAAUUUAUUUCAUACCAUUGGCUGCCUGGUCUUUUUACUUUUUGUUAAUAUAGGACGACCACACCCCUUCUUAUUUUAUAAUCAAGUUGCUGCUGUUAUCUUUUUUUGACUGACAGUUAAGCUUCUCGCAGAAUCUCUAACUGGUGUAUUUGGAAUUUAUGGUCCACACCUACUUCGCAACUAACAAGUAAUUAGAAACAAACAAACGAGCAGAACGACUGUAUUUCUGUGGUUAAUAUGAUCUUUCACGCGAUUUAACUUUACAACGUAGGA